GUACCUAUAUUAUCCAAAUUAUAAACCUCAGCGCCCCGAAAUUCAAGACAUGGACUCACCCAUAAGUCCCUUUUCGGGGAGGUUCGCCAAGUGCUUCCUCGCAGCGGUAGCCAUGUUGGCGGAUCUUUCCUUUUUAGUAGGAGAGCUUCUUCCUGGUACACCUCAUAAACAGACGGCAGGCAAGUAGACUUGCGGACCGGAGAACCCCUAGUAUUGGACUCACGUUUGUCAAACAGCAGGAAGAGAAGAAACAACUGAGGGGAAUAAAACGAAUUUCCUGCCAAGCUGUGGAUCCUUGGAGAGCAGGAAGAGAAGAAACAACUGAGGGGAAUAAAACGAAUUUCCUGCCCAGCUGUGGAUCCGUGGAGAGUUGUACAUGAUGUCUAUCUUUCUGAUGUCUGCCUUCAGAACCCUCCAACCUCCACUUUGACAAGGUGUGCUUCUUAACUCUGCCCUUCAGCUAACAGGAAGAAUAAAAUCAUCUAAUUUAAGUUUGAAUUGGGGUGUCCACAGAAGCCAGAAGGCCACAGAAGAUCAUCAUCUGGAGAUGGAGCUACAGGAGGUUAUGAGUCUCGCAUCUUGGGUGCUAGGAACUGAACUGAUGUUCUCCUAAGAGUACAGGUGCUCUAAACCUCUGAGCCAGCUCUCUAUUCCAGAUAUUGAUUGAUUGAUUGAUUGAUUGAUUAGUAGUUUCCUUUGUUAAAGCACUGCUUGUAAUUUCCCAUUUCUAAGCAUGACAUCACUUGCUACUUGAAACAGAAUGGCAAGAAGAAACAGGAGAAACAAUGAGUCAUUGUCCUUUUACAACCUAACCACACAAACUCACAUCUAUCAACUAGAUGUGUUUUAAACAACUUACUGCCAUGCUCACUUCUGUAAAAUCUCUUGACCAGUCAACUCAUUUGGUAGUUCUAGAGUAUAAAACGAGAAUGCAAACUGGAUCUAAGGAGGAAUGCAUCCUGGCUUGGAUGCGCUGCAAACACAUUUCCUCUCUUUUCCCUCUCAUCCGUAUUGGGUGUUUAUUCCAGAAUGAUUCCUGCAGCAAAAAUCAUAGGACUAGGGGACCAGCUCUGUCAGGAACAUGCUUGCCUCACACGCAUGAAGACUAAAAUUUGCUUUCAGCACCCAUGGAAAAGCUGGAUGCAGCUGGGUGAAUCUGUUGUCCUAGCACUGGCCAGGCUAAGCCAGGAGGAUUCUGUCGCAUCAGUAAAUUCCAGGUUCAGUGAGAACAAAGUAGUCAGGGUUCCUGAAGAUGACAUCCAAGGUUGUCUUCUGGCCUCCACACACUUACAUAUCUGCAUACAUAUGUGCACCUGUACACAUACGUAAAUGGAUGUGAUGUAAUUUGACAUUUGCUUAUCUACAACUACAUAAUGGUGGGAUGACAUUGAAUUAUAGGAGGCCUUGAUUCUCUUGAGCGUAGAGUUCGUAUUCCAUAGGUGGGGGAGUAGA